rnacentral:rRNA from 1 species
UACAGAGGGUGCAAGCGUUAAUCGGAAUUACUGGGCGUAAAGCGUGCGCAGGCGGUUGUGCAAGACCGAUGUGAAAUCCCCGGGCUUAACCUGGGAAUGGCAUUGGUGACUGUACGGCUAGAGUGUGUCAGAGGGGGGUAGAAUUCCACGUGUAGCAGUGAAAUGCGUAGAGAUGUGGAGGAAUACCGAUGGCGAAGGCAGCCCCCUGGGAUGACACUGACGCUCAUGCACGAAAGCGUGGGGAGCAAACAGG